CGUAGGGUGCGAGCGUUAAUCGGAAUUACUGGGCGUAAAGCGUGCGCAGGCGGUUUUGUAAGACAGAUGUGAAAUCCCCGGGCUCAACCUGGGGCCUGCAUUUGUGACUGCAAGGCUAGAGUACGGUAGAGGGGGAUGGAAUUCCGCGUGUAGCAGUGAAAUGCGUAGAUAUGCGGAGGAACACCGAUGGCGAAGGCAAUCCCCUGGACCUGUACUGACGCUCAUGCACGAAAGCGUGGGGAGCAAACAGGAUUAGAUACCCUGGUAGUCCACGCCCUAAACGAUGUCAACUGGUUGUUGGGUCUUUACUGACUCAGUAACGAAGCUAACGCGUGAAGUUGACCGCCUGGGGAGUACGGCCGCAAGGUUG
rnacentral:rRNA from 1 species